AGAACGAACGCUGGCGGCAUGCUUAACACAUGCAAGUCGAACGCUCGUAGCAAUACGGGAGUGGCAGACGGGUGAGUAACGCGUGGGAACAUACCCUCCGGUUCGGAAUAGCUCAGGGAAACUUGGAUUAAUACCGGAUACGGCUGAGAGGCGAAAGAUUUAUCGCCGGAGGAUUGGCCCGCGUUCGAUUAGCUAGUUGGUGAGGUAAUGGCUCACCAAGGCUAUGAUCGAUAGCUGGUCUGAGAGGAUGAUCAGCCACAUUGGGACUGAGACACGGCCCAAACUCCUACGGGAGGCAGCAGUGGGGAAUAUUGGACAAUGGGCGCAAGCCUGAUCCAGCCAUGCCGCGUGAGUGAUGACGGCCUUAGGGUUGUAAAGCUCUUUCGCUCGGGACGAUAAUGACGGUACCGAGAUAAGAAGCCCCGGCUAACUUCGCGCCAGCAGCCGC
rnacentral:rRNA from 1 species